rnacentral:rRNA from 1 species
GAUCGCUGCGACGCGGUCGGUUCGCCGCCCGUGACUUGGCGAGAAGUCCAUUGAACCUUAUCAUUUAGAGGAAGGAGAAGUCGUAACAAGGUUUCCGUAGGUGAACCUGCGGAAGGAUCAUUG